UACCUCUGAGGGUUCCUCCUGGAGACUUUCCAGUACUCUACCAGUCACGACUACAAGAGGGAGAAUGAAGCAGAGGCCUACCCAUUCCAUUCCUAGCUUGGGUAGUGGCUAGUGAGUGGAAGGCCAUCUGCUACAGGU